CUCUCUAACUCAUUCUUCUCAUGUUAUCCCCUGCCUUCUGCAGUUCUGCACAAUACCAGGAGAGAGAGCUAGAGCGAGAGAGAGAGAGAUCGACACAAGAGAGAGAGAGAGAGUGACGGACAAACGGAGAGAGACAGAUGAGACCGCGAGAGAGAGAGAGAGAGAUGCGAUUCAAAGUUGCAGACGCACAACCAUGUAUUUUCUCCCUCUAGUUGCAGACGCAUAGCCAGUUGCCGAGCAAGGAAGAAAGAAGAGCUUCAGGUUAAUGGUAGUGGCCAGUUCUGUGGUGUAGCUGAAAUGGUUGGACCUGUAGAUUUUGAGAAGGACGCAGAUUACUGGCAGCAAGAUAGAUGGAGCGGGCAGUUUCCAGUUCGGUGGCACAUCAUUAAAGAUGUUCCCAAUGUUCGAUUCCGUCACAUUCUACUUGAAAAUAAUGAUAAUAAGCCUGUUACUCACAGCCCAGAUUCUCAGGAGGUAGCAGUUAAUUGAUUAUGAAGACACAAACACACA